AUUGAACGCUGGCGGCAGGCCUAACACAUGCAAGUCGAACGAGGGGCGGACGGGUGAGUAAUGUGUGGAACACUGCGUGAUAGAGGGGGAUAACUACUGAAAACGGUCGCUAAUACCACAUUCCAUGAGAUGUGCCCAGAGGGGAUUAGCUAGUAGGUGGGGUAACGGAUCACCUAGGCGACGAGCCCUAGCGGGUCUGAGAGGAUGAACAGCCACACUGGGACGGAGACACGGCCCAGACUCCUACGGGAGGCAGCAGUGGGGAAUAUUGCACAAUGGGCGAAAGCCUGAUGCAGCCAUGCCGCGUGUAUGAAGAAGGCCUUCGGGUUGUAAAGUACUUUCAGUGGGGAGGCGUUACCGACAGAAGAAGCACCGGCUAACUCCGUGCCAGCAGCCGCGGUAAUAC
rnacentral:rRNA from 1 species